GAUGCAGUGAUGAGAUAGCUAACACGUAAGGAGAUCUAUUUUAAGCUUGGAUCUUCGAUGAAAUUUUCUUGUUACGCUUGGCUUCUGAGCUUU
rfam:Solanum lycopersicum cultivar Heinz 1706 chromosome 2, whole genome shotgun sequence.